CUUUCAUAUCAAAACAAACACCUUAAUUUGGGACUAAUGUAAUAGUUUGUAAUUGAUUUUAACCUCCUCCAAAAGAUACUGUAAGAAUAACUCGUAUAUUAAUCAUCCUAAAAUAUAAAAUGUGGUGUCAUUUUCCAGUUUUUAAGAUUUCAUCGUCCUAGGAAUUCAAGUCCAGGCAGCACCGAAUGUCUCUUAACCUUAGUCCACUUAUCUUUCAUGCCUUGGGGCCCACUGUUUCACUUGGUUUCAAAAAAACAACCUGGCUCAGUGUAUUAUUGUAGAUUCCCUAGAGAAAUCCAUCUGCUUUUUCCUCUCUUUUUUCUCACAUGAUUGUCUUGCCUCACAGACCCUUCCAUCAUCUUCCAAGUGAGGAAACCUAUUGAGGUAUCAAGGGCCAACUUCAAUGAAAACUUCCCCGACUUCCUCUGAAUGGAUUUGAGCUCCUCUUCUAAAUUCCUCUAGCUCUUAGUUGUUAUAUGCUAAUAAUAUUGAUCACAUACUAAAGCAUCUCAUUACAUUUCAGUGCAGAAAUAAUCCUGCUUAUUAUCAUAUAGAUCCUAUCAUAUAGAUCUAUAGAUCAUUAAGCACUGUGUCUGUUACACAAAGGAAAUUUUUGAUAAAUAUUUCUGGGGAAAAGGCAAUCAGAAAAUGGGAAGUAAUAAAAGAAUGACAUUUGGUGCUGUGUCCUUCCUCUUAUUUCUAAAAUAAAAUACAUAAAAAUUUGGUUUUUGCUAACAUAACCAUCUGAAGUGAUAUGACAGGCCUUUGGCUAACUAUCUAAUGAUAUACUAGCAAUUCACAAAAAUUUGGGGAAAAUGAACAUAUAUUCACUAAUUCACAAGUAGUCACCCAUGCUAGAUUAGAAGAUGAAGAAUUGAGUAAAAAGUGGAACCUAUUUUAAUUAUGUUACAGCCUACUGAUAAAUAAAUAAUCCCAGUAUGGAGUGGUAAGUCCCAUAAUAAAUAUCUACAGAGAGGUCUCUGGAAGCACAAGGAAGGACCGUCUGGGUUUGACAGGGGAUAUUAGAAAAAGUUUCAAAGAACACAUGACAUUUGUUCAAAAUCUUGAAGGAUGGAGAUGAGUUUGCCAAGCAGAAAAGAAUAAAACAUUAUUUUAUCACUUGAGAAAGGGCCUGCCCAUAGUUGGUAAAUUCAGGAUGUGAUAUUUGGAGAGAGAGGAUAUUAUGGGGUGAGAAAGGAAGGGAGUAGCCAUGUUGGGGAGGAAUCAGAGAGCCAUGCUAACAAGUUUAACUUUAAUUGCAUGCAAGACUGACAGCCAUUAAAAGGUUUUAGGCAGGAAAGUGAUGUGAUCAGAGCUACAGUAUGCUGAAGAAUAAAUUAAUGUGAUGAGCCAAAAUCAGAUGCAGGGAGGUUACGGGACUGCAGCAAAGCUUCAGGGAAAGGCAGUAGUAAUAGGAUGUGCAGGAAAAAGUAAUGCAGAUUGCAGAAACUUAAAAUGGGUGAAAGAAAGAGAGAGAGGCAAAAGAUUGACUGUGGCUUACAGUUUUUGAUAAAUAAUAAUGCCAAAAAUCAAGAUCUGGAUUAAGAGGGAGAUCUAGUGUGAGGAAGAAAGAAAAUCAGUUAGCAUUGCAGGUUUUUAUCUGAUUCUGUAAAAUCAACAACUGUCCAGUAAGCAGUUAUAAAUAUUUUUCUGGCAUGAGUUGAGACUCAGCUAAAGAUAUAUAUUCCAAAACCAAUAGUUUAAGCGUGGAGGUAAAAACCUCCAUGCAUAGAGGUAUAUGAAAUUGGCUAUGGACAUUUUUGAGAGAGAAAAGGGCUAAGUAUAGAGUCCACAAAGAAGACUAAAAGGAAGGUUUUGAACUCAGCUGAAAACUAAGGAAAAAAUAUUGUCAUGAGAAAGAGUGAAGACAGUUUUAAAGAGAAUGUGCUAUGGUUUGGAUGUGGAUUGCCCUCAUCAAAAUUCAUGUUGAAAUUUGAUCCCCAAAAUGUCAGUGUUAGGAGGCAGGACCUAAUGGGAGGUAUUUGGUUCAUGUAGGUGGAUCCCUCAUGAAUAGAUUAAUGCUUUCUCCCAGGAGUGAGUUCUUUCUUUCAAGGGAAUGGAUUAGUUUCCACAAGAGCAGGUUGUUAAAAAGAGUUUGCUUCAUCUGUUUCUCUCUCUUGCUUUCUCUCUUGUCUUGCAAUCUCUGCACAUGCCUGCCCCUCUUCCAUUAUCUUCCAUGAGUGGAAUCAGCCUGAGGACCUCAACAGAUGCACCUGCCCAAUCUUAAACUUUCCAGCAAUCUGAAUUGUGAGCCAAAUAAUUUUUUUAUAAAUUAUCCAGCUUCAAGUAUUAUACCAACAAAAAAAAGGAAAUGCAAUGAGUCAAUAUACUUACUGAGAUUGCAGAAGAGACUGAACACUGCGCUAGGCUCUGAAGAGAAAGAUGAAAAAGAAGAAAGUGCUCCUGAGUAUAUGACUACUUGUACUUGCUAGCACUGAGGCAAGUACAAACUCUAGGCAUCAGGCUUUUGGUCUCACUCUUAGCGAAUUUGAACACUGGCUUUUUUGUUGGGCUUCCAUUCUUCUCUCAGCGCAAGAAUACCAACGUUUAUGACCCAGGAAGCACCAACUUAUACUUCACAGAGCUAAGGUGGUCUGCAAAAUUUGCCUUCACAUUUGGAAGACUCAAAAUCUAAUUUUUGAAGGGGUAGAAAUUUGAAAUUGGAGCAAAACCAAAAUGAUAUCAAAGCAAGGCAGGUCCAGAGUGUGUGGAGCAGUUCCAAGACAGCAUCCUUGAAAGACCCAAGCAUCCCAAUAUGAACUCUCAGAGAAACAGAAGAGUUUUACCAAAUAUUUUGGCUCACUUUUAAUGAUAAAAGCAUCAGAAUUUGUGUUAGGCUUCAAAUAUAUACAUCAUUUAUGCUUCAUGUAUUAUCUGCAAGUUAGAAGCAUUUCAGAGAAAAAAAUAAGAACUUACCUUAACAUUCUAUUGGCCACACAGCUUUUCUGAGAAGAUUACAUUGAUUUGGGUAUGACAUCAAGAUGGUGAGACAUGAAAAUUGGCUAGCCAUAUGUAGAGACCUGAAACUGGAUCCCUUCCUUACACCUUAUACA
rnacentral:lncRNA from 1 species